rnacentral:rRNA from 1 species
AUUGAACGCUGGCGGCAUGCCUUACACAUGCAAGUCGAACGGUAACAGGUCUUCGGAUGCUGACGAGUGGCGAACGGGUGAGUAAUACAUCGGAACGUGCCUAGUAGUGGGGGAUAACUACUCGAAAGAGUGGCUAAUACCGCAUGAGAUCUACGGAUGAAAGCAGGGGAUCGCAAGACCUUGUGCUACUAGAGCGGCCGAUGGCAGAUUAGGUAGUUGGUGGGAUAAAGGCUUACCAAGCCGACGAUCUGUAGCUGGUCUGAGGGGACGAUCAGCCACACUGGGACUGAGACACGGCCCAGACUCCUACGGGAGGCAGCAGUGGGGAAUUUUGGACAAUGGGCGCAAGCCUGAUCCAGCAAUGCCGCGUGCAGGAUGAAGGCCUUCGGGUUGUAAACUGCUUUUGUACGGAACGAAAAGCCCUGGGUUAAUACCCUGGGGUCAUGACGGUACCGUAAGAAUAAGCACCGGCUAACUACGUGCCAGCAGCCGCAGUAA